rnacentral:rRNA from 1 species
AUGUACCUUUUGGUAUAUGUCGAUGAUAUUAUCCUUCUCAGCUCUUCUCAGUAUGCUGCUAAUGCUCUUGUCUGCUCUCUUGGUGCUGAUUUUGCGGUCAAAGAUCUUGGGAAGCUUCACUACUUUCUUGGAGUUGAGGUAACUUCUCGUGCUACUGGUCUUGUCCUUACGCAGAAGAAGUACUCCUUGGAGUUGUUACAAAGAGCUGGCAUGCUGAAGUGCAAACCGACCACCACACCCAUGUUGUCUACCGACAAGAUAACAACUGUUGAUGGUGAGCUUUUGUCUCCUGCGGAUGCCACAGAGUACAGGAGCAUUGUUGGUGGACUUCAGUACUUGACGAUCACGAGACCAGAUAUCUCUUAUGCUGUUAACAGGGUUUGUCAGUAUCUUCAGGCUCCCAGAGAUACUCAUUGGGCUGCUGUUAAACGCAUUCUUCGUUAUGUUCAGUUCACCCUGACAUUUGGUAUGCAUAUUCGGCCGACUUCCUCUCGGGUCCUUUCGGCCUUUUCUGAUGCAGAUUGGGCUGGUAGCCCAGAUGACAGGCGAUCCACGGGGGGUUAUGCAGUAUUCUUUGGCUCUAAUUUGAUCGCCUGGAGUGCUCGGAAACAGGCUACUGUGUCACGUAGCAGUACUGAAGCUGAGUACAAGGCUGUGGCUAAUGCUACUGCAGAGAUUAUUUGGGUGCAGUCUUUGCUUCAGGAGUUGGGUUUGUCUCAACCACAGCCUCCUAUUCUUUGGUGUGAUAACAUCGGUGCUACAUACCUUUCUGCAAAUCCAGUAUUUCAUGCUCGAACGAAACACAUUGAAGUUGACUAUCACUUUGUACGGGAACGUGUAUCGCAGAAGCAACUCCAGAUCAAGUUUAUCUCAUCUAAGGAUCAACUUGCAGACAUCUUCACUAAGCCUUUACCGCUGCCACAGUUUGAGGCUUGUAGGCGCAAUCUUACCCUUCUCAGUUCUUUAGAAAGUGGCUAA